CCUACGGGAGGCAGCAGUAAGGAAUAUUGGUCAAUGGAGGCAACUCUGAACCAGCCAUGCCGCGUGCAGGAAGACAGCCCUAUGGGUCGUAAACUGCUUUUAUACGGGAAUAAACUUUGAUUCGUGAAUCAAGCUGAAUGUACCGUAAGAAUAAGGAUCGGCUAACUCCGUGCCAGCAGCCGCGGUAAUACGGAGGAUCCAAGCGUUAUCCGGAUUUAUUGGGUUUAAAGGGAGCGUAGGCGGCCUAUUAAGUCAGGGGUGAAAGACGGUGGCUCAACCAUCGCAGUGCCUUUGAUACUGAUGGGCUUGAAUAUAGUUGAGGUAGGCGGAAUGUGACAAGUAGCGGUGAAAUGCAUAGAUAUGUCACAGAACACCGAUUGCGAAGGCAGCUUACUAAGCUAUGAUUGACGCUGAGGCUCGAAAGCGUGGGGAUCAAACAGGAUUAGAUACCCUGGUAGUCCACGCCCUAAACGAUGAUAACUCGAUGUUGGCGAUAUACAGUCAGCGUCCAAGCGAAAGCGUUAAGUUAUCCACCUGGGGAGUACGCCCGCAGGGUGAAACUCAAAGGAUUGACGGCNGAGACGNGCGAGGACGACGACGAGGGGAGGAGG
rnacentral:rRNA from 1 species